CCUACGGGCGGCAGCAGUAGGGAAUAUUGCUCAAUGGGGGAAACCCUGAAGCAGCAACGCCGCGUGGAGGAUGAAGGUUUUCGGAUUGUUAACUCCUUUUGUUAGAGAAGAUAAUGACGGUCUCUAACGAAUAAGCACCGGCUAACUCAGUGCCAGCAGCCGCGGUAAUACGGAGGGUGCAAGCGUUACUCGGAAUCACUGGGCGUAAAGAGCGCGUAGGCGGGAUAGCAAGUCAGAUGUGAAAUCCUAUGGCUUAACCAUAGAACUGCAUUUGAAACUGUUAUUCUAGAGUAUGGGAGAGGUAGGUGGAAUUCGUGGUGUAGGGGUAAAAUCCGUAGAGAUCAAGAGGAAUACUCAUUGCGAAGGCGACCUGCUAGAACAUAACUGACGCUGAUGCGCGAAAGCGUGGGGAGCAAACAGGAUUAGAUACCCUUGUAGUC
rnacentral:rRNA from 1 species